rnacentral:rRNA from 1 species
CAGUAACGGCGAGUGAAGCGGCAACAGCUCAAAUUUGAAAUCUGGCUCCUUCGGGGUCCGAAUUGUAAUUUGUAGAGAGUGCUUCGGGCGAGACCUCGGUCUAAGUCCAUUGGAACAUGGUGUCAUAGAGGGUGAGAAUCCCGUAUGCGACCGUGGCUCGAGCCCAUGUGAAGCCUCUUCGACGAGUCGAGUUGUUUGGGAAUGCAGCUCAAAAUGGGUGGUAAAUUUCAUCUAAAGCUAAAUACUGGCUGGAGACCGAUAGCGCACAAGUAGAGUGAUCGAAAGAUGAAAAGCACUUUGGAAAGAGAGUCAAACAGUACGUGAAAUUGUUGAAAGGGAAGCGCUUGCAACCAGACCUGCCCGUAGGCGAUCAGCCGCUGUUCUCAGCGGUGCACUCGCUCUGCGAUCAGGCCAGCAUCGGUUUCGGCGGUCGGAUAAAGGCCUUGGGAAUGUAGCUUCCCUUCGGGGGAGUCUUAUAGCCCUCGGUGUAAUGCGGCCAGCCGGGACCGAGGACCGCGCUUCGGCUAGGAUGCUGGCGUAAUGGUUGUAAGCGACCCGUCUUGAAACACGGACCAAGGAGUCUAACAUCUAUGCGAGUGUUUGGGUGUCAAACCCAUACGCGGAAUGAAAGUGAACGGAGGUGAGAACCCUUAAGGGCGCAUCAUCGACCGAUCCAGAUGUCUUCGGAUGGAUUUGAGUAUGAGCAUAGCUGUUGGGACCCGAAAGAUGGUGAACUAUGCCUGAAUAGGGUGAAGCCAGAGGAAACUCUGGUGGAGGCUCGCAGCGGUUCUGACGUGCAAAUCGAUCGUCAAAUUUGGGUAUAGGGGCGAAAGACUAAUC